AACCCCUCUGCUUAGCUCUACCUCUUGGUUGUAAACAACAGGAACCCAAUGCAUAGUGAGUUAGAAAAAGAAUUUACUAGCUUUUGGCUAGGCGCGGUGGCUCACGACUGUAAUCCCAGCACUUUGGGCAGCGGCUGCAGGUUUACAUUCUAAUAAUUUUGCAGCCUAAAUGGAGAGAGAGUGAGUGCCUCUUUCCUGAUUGUUUCAGAGAAAGCCUUGGAUAUAUCAUAUUGUCUGGGCUUGGGUCAAGUGACAAUCCCUAAAACAGUGUCCAUGGGUAGAGGAGGAAAAUGUUGUGACUGACUGGGCCUGGGUCAUGCGGUCCUUUGGAACUGGGGAUAAAAUUCAGCUCCAUUUAGACUGAGAAGAGGGGAGAGGUGGUUUCCUAAAAGAAAAGGGGGUGCU
rnacentral:lncRNA from 1 species